rnacentral:rRNA from 1 species
CGCCCAGACUCCUACGGGAGGCAGCAGUGGGGAAUAUUGGACAAUGGGGGGAACCCUGAUCCAGCGACGCCGCGUGAGUGAAGAAGUAUUUCGGUAUGUAAAGCUCUAUCAGCAGGGAAGAAAGAAAUGACGGUACCUGACUAAGAAGCCCCGGCUAACUACGUGCCAGCAGCCGCGGUAAUACGUAGGGGGCAAGCGUUAUCCGGAUUUACUGGGUGUAAAGGGAGCGUAGACGGCAGUGCAAGUCUGAAGUGAAAGGCGGGGGCCCAACCCCCGAACUGCUUUGGAAACUGUGCUGCUGGAGUGCAGGAGAGGCAAGUGGAAUUCCUAGUGUAGCGGUGAAAUGCGUAGAUAUUAGGAGGAACACCGGUGGCGAAGGCGGCUUACUGGACCAUAACUGACGUUGAGGCUCGAAAGCGUGGGGAGCGAACAGGAUUAGAUACCCGUGUAG